rnacentral:rRNA from 1 species
GUGAGUAACGCGUAUCCAACCUACCCUUGUCCAUCGGAUAACCCGUCGAAAGGCGGCCUAACACGAUAUGCGGUUCUCAGCUGGCAUCUAACGAGAACGAAAUGUGAAGGAGAAGGAUGGGGAUGCGUCUGAUUAGCUUGUUGGCGGGGUAACGGCCCACCAAGGCGACGAUCAGUAGGGGUUCUGAGAGGAAGGUCCCCCACAUUGGAACUGAGACACGGUCCAAACUCCUACGGGAGGCAGCAGUGAGGAAUAUUGGUCAAUGGACGAGAGUCUGAACCAGCCAAGUAGCGUGCAGGAAGACGGCCCUAUGGGUUGUAAACUGCUUUUAUAGGGGGAUAAAGUGUGCCACGUGUGGCAUAUUGCAGGUACCCUAUGAAUAAGGACCGGCUAAUUCCGUGCCAGCAGCCGCGGUAAUACGGAAGGUCCAGGCGUUAUCCGGAUUUAUUGGGUUUAAAGGGAGCGUAGGCCGUUUGGUAAGCGUGUUGUGAAAUGUCGGGGCUCAACCUGGGCAUUGCAGCGCGAACUGCCAGACUUGAGUGCGCAGGAAGUAGGCGGAAUUCGUCGUGUAGCGGUGAAAUGCUUAGAUAUGACGAAGAACUCCGAUUGCGAAGGCAGCCUGCUGUAGCGCAACUGACGCUGAAGCUCGAAAGCGUGGGUAUCGAACAGGAUUAGAUACCCUGGUAGUCCACGCGGUAAACGAUGGAUGCUCGCUGUUUGCGUCUGACGUAAGCGGCCAAGCGAAAGCGUUAAGCAUCCCACCUGGGGAGUACGCCGGCAACGGUGAAACUCAAAGGAAUUGACGGGGGCCC